rnacentral:lncRNA from 1 species
UCGUCCUUGCCAUCAUGAUUUAUGACGCUCAAGAACAAAGGGCAGAUACGUCAAGUUGCCAAAGCGUAUAUAAUUAUUAAGAAUUAACAAAGGGAAGGAGGUAGGGUUGCGUGGAAACGCGACGGAUGGCAGAUAGCAGAGGGAGCGGAAAUAGGUGCUUGCUAGGGUUUCGCUUUUCUACCUUUCCUCUUUUUUUGGUUUCUUAACCCAUAAUAAUUCGCCAUAUUCUCUUUAUAACAGGGAACACUUAGCCCACUACUCAAAUUGCUACCGUCGAUCGACAUCCCUUCUCCGCUUCACCUCGCUCUCUCUCUCUCUCUCUCUCUACUAGUCUCGUCCUACUUCCUCUCUCUCUCUCAUCUCAUCNNNNNNNNNNNNNNNNNNNNUCCCUUCCUCCGCCUUCUACCUCGCUCUCUCUCUCUCUCUCUCUCUCUAAGUCUGUCCUAUUCCUCUCUCUCUCUCAUCUCAUCUUCCACAAGAAAGAGGGACAAACCAUCUUGCUUUCU